ensembl:snRNA U11 spliceosomal RNA
AAAAAGGGCUUCUGCUAUGACUGGCACGGGGGAGGAGUGGGUGAUCGCUCCUUCCCUGCGGAAUCGCUAUCAAGAGAUUUCGGAAGCAUAAUUUUUGUGGCACGGAGCUGCUGAUGAUCGUUUAUCUCGGCGCUCCA